UUGCUGCAGCCAGACCACCAAAAUCGACCAGCCACAUGCUUUUCCUUAUUUGAUCAUGUACUUUUGGUUCAACUCACUUAAACCAUGCCAAAAUAAGUCAUUUCCUAAUACCACCUCACCUUGCCAAAUUUGUUUCAAGUACACACAACCAAAUCAAAUUGGACCUAAGCCCAUUAAGGACAUUUGGGACCAACAUACAUAAACCAGGAAAACCCUAAUCUGAAGGGUGGCUACAUUUUUUCGAGCAAAUUAAGAGUGAGCAAGCAAGGAAGGUUCAAG
rnacentral:lncRNA from 1 species